rnacentral:misc_RNA from 1 species
AAUGAAUUCAGUUGGGUUCAAGUAAUAUGCGAGUAUUAGUAAUAACAUUUAAGAUGAGUUCGGAUAACUAAAUAUAUAUAUUUUAUUUAGCCUCGGACAAAUUUAAGAAGUUCAGAUUUGGAUACUAUAAAAUUUAUACCUAUCUGUCGCCAUCUCUAAUGGAAAAUGGAUGGAUAUGAUUUGGUAUGGGUUGAGUAACUCGGGUCUAUAUAUGUUGGGUUAGGUGUUUUAGAUCUAUAUAGGUUGAAUUUCAUUUCUAUUAAUUAAAUUGAUUAAAUAAUUUUAAUAAUUAUGAAGAGAUAAUAAUUUUGUUCAUAAAAUGUAAGAUAUUUUUAUUUAUAAAAAG